GCCCUCGUGGUGUAGUGGUCAGCACGCUCGACGUGUGACCGAGAGGUCCGUGGUUCGAUUCCCGGCGAAGGCA
rfam:Stegodyphus mimosarum contig91871, whole genome shotgun sequence.